ACAUGCCUACAUCAUAGCGUUAAUGCACUAGAUCCCAUUAGAACUCUGUAGUUAAGCGUGCUCAGGCUAGACUAGUACUGGGAUCGGUGGUCACCAGGAAUUCCUAGUGUUUUACAUGCC
rnacentral:rRNA from 1 species